GACGAACGCUGGCGGCGUGCUUAACACAUGCAAGUCGAACGAAGUGGCGAACGGGUGAGUAACGCGUAAUCAACCUGCCCUUCAGAGGGGGAAAACAGUUGGAAACGAAUGCUAAUACCGCAUAAUGAAGGAGGGGAUUGCGUCUGAUUGGCUAGGUGGAGGGGUAACGGCCCACCAAGGCGAUGAUCAGUAGCCGGGCUGAGGGGAUGAACGGCCAAAUUGGGACUGAGAAAAGGCCCAGACUCCUACGGGAGGCAGCAGGGGGGAAUCUUCCGCAAUGGACGAAAGUCUGACGGAGCAAAGCCGCGUGAGUGAUGACGGCCUUCGGGGUGUAAAGCUCUGUUAAUCGGGACGCGGUACCGGAAUAGAAAGCCACGGCUAACUACGUGCCAGCAGCCGCGGUAAUUC
rnacentral:rRNA from 1 species